UAGGGAAUAUUGCAAAAUGGGCGAAAGCCCGAUGCAGCAACGCCGCGUGGGCGAUGAAGGCCUUCGGGUCGUAAAGCCCUUUUUGAGGGGAUGAGGAAGGACAGUACCCUCAGAAUAAGCCUCGGCUAACUACGUGCCAGCAGCCGCGGUAAAACGUAGGAGGCGAGCGUUAUCCGGAUUUACUGGGCGUAAAGCGCGUGCAGGCGGAUUGGAGAGUUGGAUGUGAAAGCUCCCGGCUUAACUGGGAGAGGUCGUUCAAUACUUCCAGUCUUGAGUGCAGUAGAGGGAAGUGGAAUCCCGGGUGUAGUGGUGAAAUGCGUAGAUAUCCGGAGGAACACCAGUGGCGAAAGCGGCUUCCUGGACUGUAACUGACGCUCAGACGCGAAAGCUAGGGUAGCAAACG
rnacentral:rRNA from 1 species